GACGAACGCUGGCGGCGUGCCUAAUACAUGCAAGUCGAACGCAGUGGGGACGGGUGAUUAACACGUGGGUAACCUCCCAUCAGAGGGGAUAACACUUGGCAACAGGUGCUAAACCGAUACUGAUGGAUGGACCCGGGGUGCAUUAGCUAGUUUGUGAGGUAAAGGCUAACCAAGGCCACGAUGCAUAGCCGACCUGAGAGGGUGAUCGGCCACACUGGGACUGAGACACGGCCCAGACUCCUACGGGAGGCAGCAGUAGGGAAUCUUGGGCAAUGGACGAAAGUCUGACCGAGCAACUCCGCGUGAGGGAAGAAGGUUUUCGGAUCGUAAAGCUCUGUUGGUAGAGAAGCGGUAUCUAAACAGAAAGCCACGGCUAACUACGUGCCAGCAGCCGCGGUAAUUC
rnacentral:rRNA from 1 species